UACGGAGGAUGCAAGCGUUAUCCGGAAUGAUUGGGCGUAAAGCGUCCGCAGGUGGCAAUGUAAGUCUGCUGUCAAAGCGUCUGGCUCAACCAGAUAAAGGCAGUGGAAACUACAUAGCUAGAGUAAGGUAGGGGUAGAGGGAAUUCCUGGUGUAGCGGUGAAAUGCGUAGAUAUUCGGAAGAACACCAGUGGCGAAGGCGACUUACUGGACGAUUGUUGACGCUGAGGUGCGAAAGCGUGGGGAGCAAACAGG
rnacentral:rRNA from 1 species